rnacentral:lncRNA from 1 species
GCAUGACAAAUAAGCAGUUUUGACCCAAACAAAAAAAAGGCACUAUGAUCAACAGCCAUUUAUGGUUGAGUGAUGUGAAUGCAAUCCAUCACAAUCUUCUUCACCUGCACAUAAUAGAAGACUAUUUUAUUGUCGGUGCUCCAUCAUGUUUAAUAAAUUUUUUUUUUCCUUUUUAUCGUCUUUCUUCUUAAAGGAUAUGAUCGAACUGCUAUUUUGUCAAAAAUGAUCAAUUAAGUGCUUUUCAAUCUAAGCAAAGAAAAGCUUUUUACGUAGUAACGGAAGAGAUUCUCGAGAAGUUUGAUAUGUUAAGGUAUCCCUUAUGUGAUGUGAAGUUGCGAGGUUCUUGUCAUUCUCUUGAAAUAUAUAUAUAUAUAUAUAUAUAUAUAGAGAGAGAGAGAGAGAGAGAGAGAGAGAGAGAGUUAUUAUCUAGUUAGGUUAAUAUAUGAUACUUUAUAAUGUAUUAUAGUACCACCUUAUUUGUACAAGAAAGAUUCUACUUAUUUCUAAAAAGAUGAAAGAUGUUAAUUUUGAGUUGAUGAAAGAAAUGAUAUUCCUACAAUGACAGUAAAAAAGAAUUUUAAAUUAAAUUAAACGACUAAUCACUGUUAUUUUUUAGGCAAAGAAGCGGUAAGAGUGUUGCCUUUUUAGGGCGGAGGUAACAAAAGAAAAAAUUGGAGUAAAAUCCAGUAAUUCUCUUAGCCGCAACAAAUCAAUCAUGCAUCUCUAACCAUGUCAAAUAAUCAAAAAAACUUUCCUUACUUAACCAACAAAGUCAUAAAAUACACAGAUAUAGACAUUUAAAACACCUAAUUAUGGGCCAAACAAAGUCAGAAUCAAAUUGAAUAAUGCAUCUACUUAAGGCAAAUCCCACCCAAAUAUCCAACCUAAUUGUGUGUAAGUCAUGACCUGUAUUUUCCUUGUCAGUUGCCACAUCAAGAUGGGAACUUUGAACGCGACUGAUCAUAUAACGAAAGCUAGAUGAAAGAUGGUAAUGUUUGUCCAAACUUUUUUAACUUUAAUUUCUAUAAUUUCAAAUUUAAAAAAUUUUCCAUUCAUAUAUACAUAUAUACGCCAAUAAUGAAACCUCAAGAAGCAAGAACCAUUUUUUUUUAUUUAGAGAUAAAUAUGAUAUUCACAAUUCUCAACAACAUGAAUAAAAAAAAAUAAAAAAAAGGUGAGAACAAUAGAGAAGCAAGGAAGAAAGGGAACAAACAACCUUACCAAACAGGUAGAGCGCAUUAUUUUAUUAUCAUCCCCCUUUUGCUUUCCACAUUAAUUAUUCCAAUCCAAAAAGGGUACGCAUGGCUAUAAACCAUUGGCUUUGUCGUGGCCAAUUUAAAGCCUCUACACCUAUUUUGUUUUUUUUUUUUUUUUAUCCCCAGCAAGCUUUCUAAACUUGGAAAGUCUCGGAAACACACUUUAAUUAUUCAAUAAUAACAAUAAUAAUAUAAUUAACCCUAGAGAGCAAAAGAGGACCAGCAUUUGCACUUCUCACUAUUGCAACACAUGCAUCACGCUGCUGCAGUGCCAUGACAGGACCUGUGAACAAUAAUGCAAUGUCCCCGAAAUUAAUAUCCUGUGACAUUUCAAUUCAUUGGUUUUGGUUUAUCAGUUGGGUACCGUCAUAACAUAUGAAACCUACAAGAACCGAAACUUCACCAAGAUUGCUGUAUGCAUGGGCUUGGCAGAAGAUGGGGCUACGGCCUUCAGGUUCAUUAUUAUUUUGUUUAUCUCAAUGAGAAAUAUAUAUCCAGCAGAGUCUCCUUUGUUUUGUUUGGUUUUGGGGUUUCUCUCGACGAACUCCUAUCACCAACAAAGGUGAAAGCAGCUUUCGAUUUGACAUUAUUUGUGGAUAUGAGCUUCGAGGUUCCAAAUCGGGUAAUAAAUGAUUAUGACAAAAAAAUAAGUCACAAGAAAGGUUUUCAAGAAAGGAUUUGAUUAAUUUGUCUAGAGUACGAAAUAAUUCAC